GACGAACGCUGGCGGCGUGCUUAACACAUGCAAGUCGAGCGGAGCGGCGAACGGGUGAGUAACGCGUGAGUAACUGCCCCCCUCUCUGGGAUAACAGUUGGAAACGGGUGCGAAUACCGGAUAGUGGGGGAUGACUCGGGGCCUAUCAGCUUGUUGGUGGGGUAGUGGCCUACCAAGGCGACGACGGGUCGCCGGCCGGAGAGGGUGACCGGCAACCUGGGGCUGAGAUACGGCCCAAUCUCCUACGGGAGGCAGCAGUGGGGAAUAUUGCACCAUGGGGGAACCCCUUAUGCAGCCACGCCGCGUGCGGGAUGACGGCCUUCGGGUUGUAAACCGCUUUCAGCCAUUACGCGGUAGUUGCUCAAGAAGCACCGGCUAACUACGUGCCAGCAGCCGCGGUAAUUC
rnacentral:rRNA from 1 species